rnacentral:lncRNA from 1 species
CGCGACUGAGGGGAGUCGGAGUGCGCGUGGGUAAGAGAGGCGGUUUGGGUGAGCGAACGGUUGAAGGCCCCCCCCCCCCCCCCCCCAGCGGAGGCGCGUGGGUCGGCGGCGCGCGCCCGCUGCGCCUGUAGCUCGCCUCGCGCUCGGGAGGGGCUGAGGGGGUUGGCGCGGGCGCGCGCACGCUCCCGGCCGCCCGAGAUUCCCCGGCGUCCGCCCCUCUGAGGGGGUGGGGGUGGGGGAGGGGGAGGAGCGCGCCCACGCCAACGGCGACUGUGGCGACGACGACGACGACGACGGAGGAGGAGGAGGAGGCCGCCGCCGUUCCGUUCUCCUCAACUCGAUUCUCCCUCAGCCCCCGGAGCGUCCCGGGCCCCCAGGCCGCAGCCGGGCGGCUUCGGCGGCGGGGAAUUUAUUGGGUAGCGUGUGUAAAACCGGCAACUGGUCAAGCAGUAAGAGGAAGUCGGCGCUCCAGAGGUGACCAUCUUUGCUGAGAGUUCGGCCAGUGGUGAUGCAGAGCUGCCAGGCUUUGGGGAAGGCCCGAAAAGUCCUUUUCUUAGACCUGUAAUCCCAGUAGUUCACAGACCUAAUGAAUCCAAGCACCUCAGUUUGGGUCAAAUAAACACAGUAAGGGACUUUCUGGAUAUUUUGCUCAUCGAGUCAUUUGAAUUAGCUAGUUUUCUGGGAGGUGGAAAGUUCACAUUUUCCAAAAAAUGCCUCAAGUGGGUGUCAGUUGCUAACUCGCCUGAGCCACAUGUGAUCUAGUGAAUAGAGCAAGGGCCUGGGAGUUGGAAGGACCUGAGUUCUAAUCCCGGCUCCGCCACUUGUCUCCUCUGUGACCUUGGGCAAGUCACUUCACUGGGCCUCAGUUUCCUCAUCUGUAAAAUGAGGAUUAAGACUGUGAGCCCUGUGUAGGACAGGGACUGCAUCCGACCAGAUUACCUGGUAUCAAUCCUAGCGCUUAGCGCAAUGCCUGGCUCAUAAGUGCUUAAUAAAUUAUUAUUAAGCCUUUCAUUUUAGGAUGAGGGAUUGGAGAAAGUCAAUGGGUCUGAGUCUGCAGUGGAAACCCUGCCAGCUGCUGAUUUUUGAGUGGGGAUGCUAACUGGGUGUCAAGUAGACUAAUGAGUUGUCCCCUGGGGAUCACUUUCUGCUGAUUCAUUGUAAACAACUAUUUAUAAGGGGCUAAGACAGGAAUGGAUGCGAAGCUACUUUACCAUGAAGAUGCAGAAAAGCAGCAUGGACUAGUGGAAAGAGCACGGGCCUGAGAGAGGACCUGGGUUCUAAUCCUGACUCCAUCACUGUCUGUUGUGUGACCGUGGGCAAAUCACUUCACUUCUCUGUGUCUCAGUUCCCUCAUCUGUAAAAUGGGGAUUGAGACCGGGAGUCCCGUGUGAGACGGACCGUGUCUAACCUGAUUUGCUUGUAUCCACCCUAGUGCUUAGUACAGUGCCUGGCACACAGUACACACAUUUUACAGGUGAGGUAACUGAGGCUCAGAGAAGUUAAGCGACUUGGUGAAGGUCACCCAGCAGACAAGUGACGAAGCCAGGAGUAGAGCCCAUCCUCUAUCCACUAGGCCAUGCUGCUUUUCUGGUUGGCAACAAAGCUGGGCUUCCCCUUGUUGUUGAAACCAGUCUGUCAAUUAAUUACUUCCCCAGGACCUACCUAAAUUGCAACAACGAGUAGAGUGAACUAGUUGAAAGUUGGACUAGAUUAAAGUAGUGAUGCUGGUAAAUAGUGAGAAGAGACAGCUGGAUGAGGUCAUAAGGAUUAUCUGCCCUCUGCCCUGAAGGAGAGCCUGUAGAACCUCCAGAGCAGGAGGGAUGGAGAACUCUCAACUCUCCACCAUUUUACAACCUCUUUGAGCCAAUGUCCUUCAGUAAGCUUAUCUCCUGGAGUCAGCUGAAACAGCCUGCCCCACUAUUGGGCUUGGUGUCCCAGGCUAAAAACCCAACUUCCUGGUGCUCUCUGCUUCUUGGACUUAUCGGGGUCCCAGAACAGGGCUGCCGUUGAUAGUUUGUCUGGAGCCAAGGCAGCAUGGCAUAGUGGAUAGCACGGGCCUGGUAGAAGGCCAUAGGUCUGCUACCUGUCUGCUGUGUGGCCUUUGUCAAGUGACUUUGCUUCUCUGGGCCUCAGUUACCUCAUCUGUGAAAUGAGGAUUAAGACUGCGAGUCUCUUGCGGGGUCCCUUGCGAGAAAGGGACCAAUUGUGUCCAACCCAGAUUUGCCUGUAUCCACCUUGGGGCUUAGUACAGUGUCUGGCACAUAGCACUUAAAUACCACAAUCACUAUUAUUAUUAAUGGUGUUUUUUCCAAGCGGGGAGAAAAGGGAGUGUUGGAGUAAUUUGGAAUAUGGUAUUUGUUAGGUGCUUACUGUGUGCCAAGCUCUAUCCUAAGUGCUAGGGUAGAUACAGGCUUGCCUGGUUAGGCACAGUCCCUGUCCCACAUAUGCCUAACAGUCUGAGGUGGAGGUAUUGAAUUCCCAUUUUACAGAUGGGGAAACUCAGGCCAGAGAAGUGAAGUGACUUGCCCAAGAUCAUGCAACAAGCAAGUGGCAGAACCGGGAUUAGGAUCAUGGUCCUGUGAGCCCCAAACCCAGACUCUUUCCACUAGGAAAUUAGAAGCUCCUUGAGAGCAGGAAUCAUGUCUCGUGUCAUUGUUUUAAGCUCCCCAAACGCUUAGCCUAGUGCUGUGCACCUAGAAGGUGCUUAAUAAAUGCCGCCGAUUGAUACGGUUAGGAAAGUCGAGAGUGCUGUGUGGGAGUGGAGUGUGACUCUGGUUAGGUGACUUCCCGUGUGAAUUGUAGUGUUCGAGGAGAGCAACCAGCAACCCCUCCUCCUGAUAAAAUGUUGUGGGCCAGGAGCGUGUCUGCCAACCUUAUUGUAUCGUGCUCUCCCAGGUGCUUCAUACAUUGCUCUGUACACAUAGUAAGUGCUCCAAAAAGUACUGUGGAUUGAUAAUACGUUUGUCACUGCCUCUCCAACGCUGAAAGGCUCCAGCCGGUGUUUUUCCUGCUGGUUCAGCCCGGCAUUUGUCUCGUUCAAAUGAUCCAGCCCUUCUCUUAUUUCAGCCUGCCAGAGGGGUCCCAGUCCCCUCAGCUGUCU